ensembl:lncRNA
AGAUAGCCAGUGCUUGAUGGCUUGAGUCAGUCUGCUGAUUCAGGCACCUACUGCAACAGACCUCAAUGGGCCACAGCUAGUAAUCUCAAGUUCGUGCUCGUAAACAGCAGACCAGGCACCUCUUUGUGGUUUUGUUUUUGCUUGAGAAAUGUGUUCACCAAAAAUAUGCUCUUGCUCACCCAGGGGACAUCCCAGAGGAGAAGCCACUUAAUCUGGAGCAGGUCUCACUGCCCGAUGGUGGGGACAAAGACGAGGCUGGUGGCUCCCUGGCAGACAAAGCAGUGUUGUGGGGGAUUGUUCAGUCUGAAGAAGAGGAGCUCAGAGGAGACUUUAUCACUCUCUACAACACCUGAAAGGAGGCUGUGGUGAGGUGGAGGUCGGCCUCUUCUCCCAGGUUUCUGGCUCUGUACGUUGCAGGUCAUUUAUAUUUUCUACUCAGAAUCUAAAGGCUGGAAACUGACUCAUUGUUAAUAGAAAGUAUAAAAGCCCACUAGGAGCAACAUGAUUCCAGGAGCUCAGACUAUCAUGGGAACAUCAAAUGCACCUGGCAUCGUGAUAAGGCCAUCAGAAAUUAGCAACACCAAAGGUGCAUCCUGGGUGUCCUUCUAACACAGAUCAUAGCUGACAUAUAUCUGUCUGUACUGACAUCACCUGGAGCCUCAGCAGCAUACUUUGGAGUGUCCAUUUGGGGAAGUCCUUUAAUUGUUGGCUGUUGGAAGGUGAGAAGAUGCUCAGAAUCAAGGACAGCUCUGUGCCUUCAUCCAUAACCCGCUGCUGAUCCCAGCCAGUUGGAGGUGCUGCGAAAGAUGGGCUAAGUCAGCCCUCACCGAUAAGGGUAAAGUAAGGGUGCUACAGCAUCAGGUUUGAAGGCAAAGCCUAUGGAGAUAGGAAGAAGGACUGGGGCACAUUUUCCUACGCCAUCUACAAGUAUCUACAUUUCCAUCCUCUCCUCAUCUCAUCCUGACUGUCCCAAAGCACUUUUUUUGUCCAAAUUGGAGUGAAUCCCUUAUAAAGGGCAGAUGGAGAAUGGUAGCAGCCUUCUGACCAAGGCGCUGCUGAGUAUUUUCACUCCCCUUGUCCUCUUCUGAAGCUGGACCAUGUGCUUUGUGGGAAGUCUUAAAUGGAGCGAUGUCUACUGCAGCCAAGAGAAUUAAUGUCACAAUUCUAUUUGAAGGAAAUGACAAACGUGUCCUCAAAUUCAAAGCAGACACAUCCAAUCUCCUGGCAUGACUGCGGUGAGGUACAGCAAUCUCCGUUCUGCCCCCAGAUCCAGGCGGCACAGCAACCCUGAUCCAUCAGCGGUGAGGUCAGCUCUGUUGGUCUGAGCUACAUCUGCCUCUCCAUCAAGCAAAGAACUGAAGGAGGCAAAGCUUGCAGCAAGCUGCAAACCACAUCCACUCCCACCAAUCACCUUUACUUCUCUCUUCUCUUCUGGUUUGGGGUUUCUGACAACUGUAUCUUUUCUAAACGGAAGCCCACACAAGCCUCUCUUCUGACGCCUUUCACUUGUGAUUUUGUGAGUCUUUAUAACCAGCUCUAAGAAACACUUGAAAUGCGACCAUUAAAUCACUCAAUAACACCCUUCAGAGCACUUUUACACAAGGCUGCGAUAUGUGUGCGGGGACAGCCUGACACCACUGGGAGGGCACCUUCAUCUCUGGGACAGCAGCCCACAGAGGAGGUCAAGGAAGUAUUUCUGAAGAGCCAUUCCUCACAGAUGCUCAGCUUUUGAGUCUGAUGGCCCUGUAGGAGAUCAAGGCAGCCACCAACAGGGGAUAUGCUUUUACAGGCUGAAGUCCAUGAGAAGAAAGGAGUCAGACUUGUCCUGGUUAUGGAGGAAGCACUCCUACCAACAUCCUAUGAGACACAGGUCCUUGUCUCAAGCCCCUGAAUGCGCCUGCAAGCCGGAGGCCCAGCAAGAGGAUGAGCCCACGGAGGAGGCAGAAGGGGCCGAGUGUCAAUGCUGCAGCCACAGCAAGCACAACGUGGAGGGCACAGUGCUCUGACAGCAGUCGGCUUCACAGAGACUGCUAGUGUAAGCACAGAUCUAAUUGAAUUGCAGAUGUCUUUUCUGAUGGCUAUCUGGGAACAAGGCUUUGAUUAAAGCAGCAGCAAGAGAGAGGCAGAACAGGCUUGCUCUCGGUAAUAAAACUAAUGGAAGGAAGAAUGACCACUUACUGUGGCCUCCUCAGGGAGCACAAAACAAGCAGAUACUCUGAACAAGACCUUCUUCUUGAGAUUCAAAAGCUUGGCAAAAAUACCCAGCUUCCAGCUCCUGAAGAUCCUGAAUAUAUAUAGUACUGGAAAGCAGAUGACCAUGAUUUAAAUGAUCCACAAACUCUUCUCCCCUUCUUCCCAUACUCCUUGACCAACGCAUCUGCUGCCCUUCAGGAAGGUCAGAUAGGCUUGUUCUUUGAUUUUAAUGACUGGCCAUUUUUAUUCUCUGUCCUUACCGACUCAUAGAGUGGCUUGGGUUGGAAGAGACCUUUAAGAUCAUGUAGUUCCAACCCCCUGCUGCAGGCAGGGACACCUCCCUCUAGAACAGGUUGCUCACAACCCCAUCCAGCCUGGCCUUCCAGGGAGGGGGCACCCACAACCUCACUAUGCAAUCUGUUCCAGUGUCUCACCACCCUCAGUACAGAAUUUCUUCCUAAUGACUAUUCUAAAUCUACCCUCCUCCAGUUUAAAGCCAUUGGUUACUCCCAAGAUUCAGGUGGAUUUGCCCUGAGCUUGUACAUGCUGGAUCUCAUGAAGCCCCUUCAGAUUUCAUGGUGCCCUCAGAGCUCCUAAGGGGGAGAGCUCUCAGCCCAUCCAAACUAGAAGACAGAAUUGCAGCAUUGUGACCUUUUUUUUUUCCCCCUCCAUCUCAUGACAACUUGAACCACAUCCAAUAUGUAUUACUACAUACACACCACUGAAAAACCACCUCCACCCAAGGCAGAUGAAGAAUCAAACUUUAAGAUGACCUAAAAAUCUGGCUCAGCCCAAGAACAAGGUUUCAGAGAACUGCUUUCCCUACGCUCAGCUGUCUGCACCCAAGCAGGUUCUGGGGGCCCCUAGGCCAACUCUCACUGCUUCUUGUUCUCACUCAGCUCUCCUGGGGUCAUCUCAAGGAACAACAACCCGGUGCUGAGCUUCAAGGAAAGUCUUCACAGAUUUACUCAUUUUCCCUUUUGAACUGCUGCCCUUUUUUUGAUGCAUUUCCAACGUAAGGAAGCUAGUUUCUCCACAGUUUGGCUUUUAACUUCAUUGUUGAGCUUGGCCUUGCUCCUGCUGUUGGAAACCGGACCCUGAUUUGGGAGGGCAGUUGCCAGUGUCUGCUGGAAACUCCUUGCCCUGGGAUUUUCAGCCACGCUGUUUAUUGGCCUAGCUCGGUACGAGGUAAAGGCAGUCGGAAGUCUGCUUACUCAUCACAGCAGAAGAGUUUGGCCAGUGGCAAGUGUAUUUUGGUCUCCUCAAACAUGCACUUGCAGCUCCGCAGCUCGUUCCAGGCUUCCCCACAGCUCCUUCCAGCAGUCACUCUUGCUCAGCUCAGUUCCACACAUCUGAAGCCAUGCUGACCGGCAGGCCUAGAGCUGGGUGGACUUCCAGCCUCACGCCUCAGACUUGUCUCAGGUCCAUUCCAGCAGAAAACUCUCCAGAAUGUUAAAAACAUCAUCCAAAGGACAAAAGCAAGAAGUAUUUCAACACCUAAAAUGUGAACGGUCGAUACUGGUCAAGAUGCUAUGUUACGCUAAACAAGCAUGCCUACAGCCAGCAAGCUUGAGUAUUGCUAUUCCACCCCACAAAGAAUAAAUAGUAAUUAAACUUGUUUGUAUUAAUCUCAAUACAUUCGCUGGAGCUACAGAAACCGAGGGCGGUAAUUCCCAAAUAGCCUUGCUGGUUUCUUUCUCCAGCUGGAGGAUAGGAAGCUGCCUUCCAGGCAUUGAUUUCUUCCAAAAGAAUUAGGGAGAGGCAACUCUAAGGCACUGUGCUUACUGCAGUGCUGCAGGCUUGGUCUCCAUGCUCUCUGGACAGCUUUCAGACAGUAAUGGAGCCUACUUCUCUUUCUGAAGCACUUGCAAAGCCUUCAGAAUGAGGACAAUCUGGACUUGCCUUAGAAUUACUUGCCAGACCUUGGCUAUUGAGGCCAGUUGAUUUAAAGUGCUCUGAAAAAUGAUUUGUUGUUGAACAAAAGCAAAAAGUCAAAACAAUUCAUUCCAGCAGUAUUACAACACAACAAGCUGAGAAGUCUACACUUUCUUUUGGUCUCAAGUGAAAUUUUGGUCAAACGGAGCCUGUUUCACUGAGAGGCUUCAGUUUUGACAGUGAUUGCUAACAUCAUCUCUGCACAAAGUUCUGCUGUCUAACUUUAGCAACUUAAUAACCAGCUCCAGAAGCUGGCUCCGUGGUUUUAAAGCAAUUAAAACAAUCCUGCAAAGAACAAAUGCCUAGAUUUGCCAACAGCGAAGCACAGCGUACUAAAAAUUAUCGACGUGUUAUCUAACAUAAAGCCUUCAAGCUUUUAGACACUGUAUUAAAGAACAGCUGACAAAAAAAAAAAAAGAAAAGAAAAAUCCUGAAUAUGCUCAGGCUGUUCUUUAAACGGAGAAAUAAAUCCAGAGGUCAAUCUCAUUUCUGAACAUAAAACAUUGUUUGCAAGUUUCGGUGAGCGAAGCGGGUGAAAACGCCUAUCUGCACGUUAACAUCAACUUCUUAUGUACUCAACAUUACCGCCUGGAAGUGCUCGAGACAUUCAGCAUAUAAAGGCAACUGGAGACAAUUAAGCCACUUACAAAGCCCCAGAAUUAGCAUUCCUUUUGUCAGAUUCAGAUAAUUCAAGUGCUGUUCUGCCAUAAAGGCUAUCAUCAAUUUCUAAUUUUAGCUUAAUCCGUCAGAAAAAAGCAUCUAGCCUUUCCCUCUGUUGUUUGCUCAUUAAGAAUCCUUUUAAAUUACAGACUGAAGCCUUGAGAAUGAAAACUACGAAUUAAAGCUCGCAUUCCCACAGGGACAUGCUCAUGCAGUUGCUUUGAUAUACUGAUCCCAGGGAGGGUAGCACGACAACUCGUGCUGCAGCACAGCAAAGCAGUGCGCGAACCUUUGCAUGACCUGAACCCAACAGAAGAAUUUAGCUUUAAGUCACAGAAAAAAGAUGGUCUAUCCUGACUUUGAACCCACUGCCUUCUCAUUUCCUCUGCUACACCUACUUACUCUCAAAGAUGGGAUUCCCCAAGAAAUGCAUCUCUUCAUCCUUCUAUAUGCCAUUGUGUAGAAGACUCUCUAGCAACUUCAUAAUUAACCUUUACAUUUUAAGUCAAAUUCCAGCACCAUCCUAAAAGUUGGAUGCUUUCAAGCGUCUCCAUCAAGAAGCAAUCACUUUAUAUUUAAUUUCAUCAGUGAUGAACACUGCAAGUACCUGGGAUUCAUAUCCUUAACACCACUGAAUAGGACCCACUGUAAAACUACGAACCCCUCCACUAUCCCAGCUGCAAGCUACAGCCAUGCCAUAUCUGCACUCUUUCACUUGUAGAGCUGUAGGUUUAAGUUUGGACAUAUUAUAAUCAUGACUACUGAAGAAGAAAGCAGCAUUUUUUUUUUUUUCCAAAAUGGAGGAAAACUCUCUUAUCUUCAUGUAGAGCUGGAAGUCCUCCUCCAUAAUCCAAAAAUGUAGAUGUCAUACCGUGUGUCAAGUUCACACAGUUUCAGCUCACAAA